UCUCUGUUACUUUCAUUGGUAAUGUUUACAUUGUACUGUUUAUUGUUGCAAUCUGAUAUUUGAACUUGUUAUAUUUCAGGAUAUCAUGGGAUGCCUCUUUCGAAGGGAGGAGGUGUGUCUGGUCUAGCUCUUCAGUUUGAUGGAUACACUACUGUUCAGAAGCUUUGGGGUCAGUAAGAUUUGUUUUGUUUUUAAAUUAAUACAUCAAAAGUGAGAGAUAAGAAUUUUACAUUGCUAUAAACUACUGUAUGUUCUUUUGAACUUUCUAUUAAUCAAAGUAUCCUGAUUUUCAAUUUCUAUAAUCCCAUUUAUAAAUGAACAAUAUAAAUUGAGAAUCUCUGUUUUCUCCACACACAUACCUUCGUGUACCCUUAGGGUUUGGAGGAGAGAGAUGGAAUACUUCAAGGGGUAGGAAAGCAGGAUAGUGGAUGCCACAGUGGAAGAUACGUGUGCAGAAGUGUAAAGCUGUGCAGAUGGUCCUUAACCUUUGUAGCCCUUCAGUUACAGACAAGUGUCUCAUCGCAGAUGCCUGGACUUCCCCUGCUGCAGAGCGCUCUGAUAGAAGGAAUGAUUAGAUAAGACUAUUUAAUAAACUGUUUCACAAAAAAAAUGUCACAAAGUCAAGUGUGAUUUUCAAGUAUUGAAGUAUAGAGGGUGAGGGCUAGAAAUGCAAGAAGUUUCUUCUUUUCUCAUUUAGCUACAGCAGGAUUCGGAGAAGUGAAUUUUGCAAUGGAGUAUUGUUUUUUUGUCCUUUCUGUUUUUUAGAGAAAGAGUGGUAGCAGUGUGGACUACCUGCACCCACAUCUCCUCCAACACUCAUUAGCACCAACAUAUUCACUUCCAGCUUCCAGAACAUUGUGGAUGCUUAUGGUGUGGCAUGUUACAGAGAGGUUAAUCCAGAUUUGGCAUAUGCUGUUUGGUGGGAGAUAUCUGAUUCUUCUGAUGGGGUUGUUCUCCAUUUAUACUGGUGCUGUUUAUAAUGAGUGCUUCAGUAAAGGACUCAAACCCAUGAUGCAGCACUACAACUGGAGGUACAUGCACAAUAUUACAGCCAAGGCAAAGAUUGGUGUUCAUGCUGUGUCUUUUUGGGUAUUAGUAAAUAAUUACAUUUUUGAAUAUAAAUUUGAACUGAAAUCAUAA
rnacentral:lncRNA from 12 species